rnacentral:lncRNA from 1 species
GGAAGGCAGGGCCAACCCAGGGGAGCCAGGAUCCACCCCUUCCCAGACCUCAUUUAAGGGUUGGCAGUAAAGGCAAGGGUAUCUUGCUAGAGCUCCCUGCCUACUAGAGGCCUUCUGAAAUUGAUGCAAAAAUAUCCACUAAAUUCUUGAGUUGCUGCAUCUUAUUCUUGUCAGCUCAAGCAAAUAGUCUUCCACAGAGGAAAAACAGAAUCCUUUCUACAGUAGAAGCCUCCAGCAACUUUUGUCCAUUGUGGUAG